rnacentral:misc_RNA from 1 species
UGUUGUCCAGAUUAACCUUCUUUGGUGAGAAGGAAUCCUCAAACUCAGGCCUUCAAAUGUACAGGAAAACAGCUGAAGCUGUGAUGUGUGGCCUUAUACCGGAUUCUCCAUCUGCCACAACCAGCAGAACUGACAGUGGACUUAUAUGGGUCAGUGAAUGGAACGCUUUACAACAUCCUGUUGCUUCUGCAUUUUUAGCUACUCUUUAUAGUGACUACAUGCUUACAUCGAAGACCACUAACCUAUCAUGCAAUGGAGAAUCAUACAAGCCAGCAGAUCUUCGGAAAUUUGCCAAGUCCCAGGCUGAUUACGUCUUGGGCAACAAUCCUCUGAAAAUGAGCUUUCUAGUUGGAUAUGGUGACAAAUACCCACAGUACGUGCACCAUAGGGGAGCUUCAAUCCCAGCUGAUGCAACGACUGGCUGCAAGGAUGGCUGGCAAUGGCUUGAUUUAGAGGAACCCAAUCCCAACGUAGCUGUUGGAGCACUUGUAGGUGGGCCCUUCCUAAAUGAAACAUACGUUGAUUCUAGGAACAACUCAAUGCAAGGGGAACCAAGCACAUAUAACAGUGGACUAAUUGUUGGGCUGCUGUCGAGCCUGAUCACCACCUCUCCAGCAGUUCAAUCCUUCACCUAAAUCAAUCUGGGUACAUAUACAGUGACACAUUGUUUGUAUUUUAUGUAGUUGUUACUUGCCAGGGUUGCUAUUUGAUAUCAUAUUUUGUUCCACACUGAAACCUGAGUUGGGGUUCUUGUGUAAGAAGCAUUCGUAUUUAGGGUUAUUCCACCGA